rnacentral:lncRNA from 1 species
AAAAUGGAUACAAACACCUGCCUUCCACCUUCCAAGCGCUGUGGACUCUUCUGGCAUGUUCAGUUGUAGGAUCCAAAUCCAGGACCUUAUGAGUGCUAGACAAGUACUCUGUCAACUGAGCCCAGGACGAGUCUCAAAUGGUUUAGUGACACAUCUCUGAUGUGGCAUUCCACACAGAUGAUGAACAAACACUAUUAUGGAAACUUCUGCCCCAAGUAUAUGACCUAGGCUCUGUUCUUCAGAGUGACUGGUGUGGGCCAUGAAGAUAGGUGCAACCAAGGGUUUUAGAGAGAGCACAGUGAAACCAUGACGGUCCCUGGAUACAGGGUGGGUCUGACACAGCUUUCAGUCUGUGUCCCAUCUUCCUAGGAACACAGGCUACCCAUCAGCUCAGGGAAACUCAGGGUUCUUAGUAAUGAGGUGCUCAGUUCCAUCAUUCAGUCUACUUGUUUUACAUGCUGUGUGACUCUGAGUUGGGCAUAAGCCCUCUCUGGGCCCACAGUCUCCUUGCAGUAGCAGGGAGCCUGCCGAGCUCUCCCUUGGAAAUGAGCCAUGUCCCUGGCAGAUUCUCUCCUGCUGACCACCCUGGCUGGGCACAGCAGGAAACCCCAGUGCUUCUGUCUUGGACACACCUGCAUGUAAACCCCAGCUCUGGGGUAUACUGGGUAUUUAACUUUGCAGAGUUGCCAAAUGCUGAGCCUUCCUGUCCUCACUGUCUGGUAAGAUUGGUGCUGUGUAUCCUGAAGGAAAACACUCCAGAGAUGAGACAUAAAAGUGAUAACAUGGGGUCGAACUUCCUCUGAUGCACCGUGUAAAAUCUGAGGUCAGCAGGUGUCAUGGAUUGUUCUCCCAGGGUCCCGUGAACAUUAAAGUGGCUCCGUAAGCAAUAAAUAGCCAUGAGCCUGGCUGUCUGGGCAAGUGGGAAUGGAUGGCCCUGGUAACUGACUUGAAUCUCUGAAAUGAAGUUGGAGAGACAGAUAUGGAGACUGUUGAGGAGAGACAUGAGCGGGUGUGGUGAAUAAGGAGUGUCUCGGGCAGGAGAGCACCUUGUGCCUAGCCUGCUUUUGGAAGCCUUCUGUGAAAUAUGCUGGCUGGCUCUUGUCUACUCUCUCUCCCAGGUAUGACUUUGUGGUAGCUAGGGUCUGCACUGGGGUGGGGUGACUUUGUAGGACCCAUGGCUCUUCUUGUGUUGUUCCUACUUUGGAACAUCCUGCUGAGCCUGGGUUUUGCAGGCUACCAGAAGGGCUUCAUUAAAACUCCCAAGUCAAAAGGCUUUUAGCCUAGAAGUUAAUAGGCUCAGUCGGUGUCUGGGUCCUUGACCAAUGAGAGAGAGUUCUUGUUCUGGGACCCGAUCCACUAUUGUUCCUGGACACCUAAACCAACCAUCUCUUUCUUGCUAUUAAGAUGUCCUGCCUCCCAAACCUCUCCAUGCAGAACUCCUUACCUUUUGAAGCACAUUCAAGAAGACCUCCAGCUUGCACACUGGUUUCUUUCUCUUCCUCCCCAUUGGGGGCUGGGCUGGGCUGCAGCUGGUUGGGGUUGGAGGGCUCUCCCCAGACUUGCUCUGCAAAGCCUCUUAACACAGUUUUAGGCAGAGUCUGCAUUCCUUUACCCUUAAUGCCUCCUCUGAGAACAAGGAGAAACCUGAGCCUUCUACCACUGUUGACCAGAAGAGGUGGGCCGGGCUGGGUAGAGGACCUCAGUUCCUGCCUUCCCUGAGAAUGGAAAUCCAAGGCCUCCCUUCCCUGUUUGGCUGCUAGGGCUUUGAAGUCAGGGAACUAAGCAAUGGCCUUUGUUAAACCCACCUAAAAAGAGGGGGCUGCAAGAGAAAAGAGAUUACCCCACUGAUCAGAAAGGUUCAGCAAUUUUCCUAUACCCAAAGGUCUUUUCACUCAGGUUUCUUCACUGCCCCCUUAGGCUUCUAGGGCCAAUCAGAGGUGUAAGCUUUCUAGUUCAGAGGCAGGAAACAGCUCAAAUCCACGUGGGUUCUGCAGUACCCCUCAACUCUUCAGUUCCUAUGCCCCAGGCACAGCUGGAGUCAUCCAUUGGAUGCUGCACCUCUGUUCUGCUCAGGUGUGGAAUUCCUCCAGGAGCAGUUAUUUGUCCGGUUGAUGUAAGCCCACACUCCGCUCCACACUGGAAUCAGGAGCAGAGGCAGGAGCUAGCGCAUGCAGGGCGUGGCUUCAGUCCUCAGCCCAACCCUUUCUGCUAUAGUUUAGAAAACUGAGUCCUUCCGUAUCUAUUUGUUAAUCUUGAAGAAGGCAGAGUGUUCUGGCUGGUUUUGUGUGUUGACUUCACACAAGCUAGAGUCAUCAGAGAGGAAGGAGCCUCAGUUGAGGAAAUGCCUCCAUGAGAUCCAGCGGUAAGGCAAUUUCUCAAUUAGUGAUCAAUGGGGGAGGGCCCAGCCCAUGGUGGGUGGUGCCAUCCCUGGGCUGGUGAUCCUGGGGUCUAUAAGAAAGCGGGAUGAACAAGGCAUGGGAAGCAAGCCAGUAAGCAGCACCCUCCAUGGUUUCUGCAUCAGCUCCUGCCUCCAGGUUCCUGCCCUGUUUGAUUUCCUGUCCUGAUUUCCUUUGAUGAUUAACACAACAUGGAAGUAUAAGCAAAUAAACUCUCCCCCCAACCCCACAACAUGCUUUUUGUUCAUGAAGUUUCAUCAUAGCAGUAGAAGCCUUAACUAAGACAUAGAGGUUGGGAGGUAGCCACAGAAACUGGCAUUUGGCAAUUCUGGGCAGGUUGGCUACCUUCCUCUGCCCUCGGGGUGCAGGGGGCAGAGGUACCCUACUCUUUCCCUUCAUAAGGGUCACAGUCCAUCUUUCACAAUAGCAGACAGACCAAGAGACAGCGGGACAAAUCUAUAGAGGUAGCUUUUCGCAGAAUAUAAGGCUAAAAGAAUCACACAAGCACUCAGCUUUACAGAUAUCUGAAUUGAUAGGUAAUACUGAGUUAAUCAAAUGAGAUAAACACAGACAAUGAAAGAGACUAGAUUAUGACGUGUACAGACCUUGAUAUUAGUGUUCUUUCCUGCUAUACUUGGGCUUGGUAUUAUUGGGGGUCUGAAAAUGACAUCCUCAAAACAGAGGCCUUAGCCACAAACUACUGAUUGAUGCUCUCUCAACCUCUCUCGAGUGCCGGGGUUACAGGGAUGGGCAUCACACCCAUCAGACAAGGGAAUCUUGAAGGGGGAGAUGGCUUAGUUGUAAAAGUGCUUUCCUUGUCAGUGGGAAGGCCUGAGUUUGAUUCCCUGUGAAAAUGCAAGGUGUGGUGGUGUGUGCUCAUAACAAUUGGAGAGGCAGAAAUAAGAGGAUCUCAGAGGCUCUGGCUAGAUCCUAGCCCAAUUGAUGAGCUCUGGGCCAAGAGCAGAUCCUGUCUCUUGCUCUCCUUUGUCACAGAAGACAAGCUAUGGGAGCUAGAUUCUCUCUACUCCUAAGAGGAUCAUGGGAACCAGAUAGUCCUUUUAACAAUGCCAUCAGAACCUCUCCUGGACACCUUGUCUGAUAGUAAAUCAUACAGUCCUCUCUCCAGAGGCAUCCUGCCCCACACUCAGGAGGAAAGAAAUACUAGGAAAGGCCUACAAGAAUCUAAACCAACAGGCCUAGCUGGUCCAACGCCCUGCAGAUAGACAUUAGCCCCACAUUGACUCUGUCCACUGCCAUCUGAAAGUGGACUUUUAUCUGAGUCCACAUGGUCAUCUAUGCUUCACGAACCUGAGAAUAAAGAAGGGCUUGAGUGGAUAAGAUGGCUCGGCAGGUAAAGAUGCCUGCUACCAAGCCAGAUAACCUGUAUUAGAGCCCCGGGAUACAUAUAUGGCAAAGAGAGAACUGACUCCACAAAGCUGUCUUUUAACAAAAGACAGACAGACAGACAGACAGACACAGAAUAAGUUAAGUAAAUAGUAGCUUGUUCUGGAUCUCUGAGUCUUCCAUCUGAAGGUGUUUAUGUCAUAUAAACCUAGGACAAACACAUUUCCUGUCCUUUUCCCUCAUUUAUCUUCCUCUGCCCUAGGGUAUCAGCUGAGACCCUUUAUGAUAGUCCUGGAAGGGACUGGGAUGUUCUUUCCUGGGGUAGCCUCCCCUGAUCCCAGCCUAUCUCAACCUGGUAAAGAACAUGUUCUCAAUUUCCAGGUCCUGAUGAGGAGUGAAGGAACUGGCUUAAGGUCACAUCACCAGGAACUAGGAAGCUGGGCUCUGAAUUUGCUCCAGAGUCUGGAUUUCUAACUAGACUCUCAGCUCCAGUACUGCCCAGAGGCGCCGUUACAGUAUUAUGGUAUGCAGCUCCAGGCUUCAGGAAGAAUGUGCCGGGCUAAACAGCUGCCUGUCCCAGGGCUCUGCUGAGCAAUUCUGCUUAGAGCCACAGGCUCUGGCUCCCAGCCACACCGGGCUUAGGCUCGCCUCCUCCAUCUUCCGAGGCUCUGAAGCCUUCAGGCUCACCACCUCCUCUUCAGAGUGAGCAUGUACUACCAUAGCCUUUCCAGGGAAGUCACCCCCAAACAGCCAGGUGCCCAGAACACCAAUGGGAUAGGAGAAAGGGUUUUCUGUCGUGAUUAGGGGUUCAACUGAUAGCUUCCCUCUUGGCACAGGGAUGCUGCUUCUGGGCUAAAAGUGGAGAGUGGCAACACCAAGACAACCAUAAGCCCCUUCCUAAUCUGGCCUUUAAGACCCCAGGCCUUGGGCUGGAGAGUUGGCUCAGUGGUUAAGAGCACUUGUUGCUCUUGCAGAGGACUGGGGUUUCAUUUCUAGCACCCACAUGGUAGCCCAUAACUAUCUGUAAUUUCAGUCUCAGGGGAUCUAAUGCUCACUUCUGGCCACCCAGGGAUGACAUGGUGCACAUAUAUCCAUGCAGGCAAAAAUACUCAUACCC